rnacentral:rRNA from 2 species
GGGUUGUGAGGUUAAGCGACUAAGCGUACACGGUGGAUGCCCUGGCAGUCAGAGGCGAUGAAGGACGUGCUAAUCUGCGAUAAGCGUCGGUAAGGUGAUAUGAACCGUUAUAACCGGCGAUUUCCGAAUGGGGAAACCCAGUGUGUUUCGACACACUAUCAUUA